CACACAUCUGGCCAGUCUCAUUGCGUGCUGCUCGCGGUCCAAACGUGUUCCAUAUUUUAACAGUACCUAAUAAUAGUAUUUGUAGUAAUUAUUGUUUAUAUAUUAAUGUCAAUAAUUAACGGAAAUAAUCUUAAAGCGUGCAGUGAAGUUCACAAUUUCCGUCGUCGGGAUUCUGCCACAGUAUCAAAUGGGAUGAAGCGGAGAUGUGGAGAAUUAAUUACAUUUGAAGGGUUGAUGACGUCACAGUUACUGCUAAGGACAAGGCUGCAGCAUCAGACAGAGCAAAGUUAUCUGAACCAGUAGAUUAUUUAACGAGUUUCUAAUCGGGUGUUCUCUGAUAAAUUAAAUCAUUAUAAUUAUGAUUAUAAACCCUCUUACAAUAAAUAAAUAACUUGAAAAAC